AUACUUACCUGGUAGGAGAGAUACCAUGGUCACAACGGUGGUUUUCCCAAGUUGAGGCUUAUGCAUUGCACUCCCCAUGUGCUGACCCCUGUGAUUUCCCCAAAUGUGGGAAACUCGACUGCGUAAUUUGUGGUGGUGGGGGAUUGCGUUUGCGCUCUCCCCUG